rnacentral:rRNA from 1 species
CGGAGCACGCCGCGUGAGUGAUGAAGGGUUUCGGCUCGUAAAACUCUGUUAUUAGGGAAGAACAAACGUGUAAGUAACUGUGCACGUCUUGACGGUACCUAAUCAGAAAGCCACGGCUAACUACGUGCCAGCAGC